AUUAGCAGGAUCAACAGCAAGAUGAGAUGGAGCCAUUUAUGGGAUCUGGUCGUUUUGCGCGAGCCUAUACACUGGGUUACAGUUGUGUGGAUGAGGAGGAACUGGAAGCAGCGUUGAGGUUUUGCUGAAAUUCAAGUCUUUUGGGGUAUUUAUGAUAUGGCCUUAAAGGGUUUAGUUGUAUUAAUGAAAUAAAUAAGUUAUUUAAUGCCCUUUUAACAGGCUCAUGCAUGAUUUAUGAGAAAUGUUAUAUAUUUAAUCUUUUUAUUUUGGGCUUGGCUUUUAUAUAUAUAUAUUUGUUAUUA